GGCUCGUUGGUCCAGCGGUAUGAUUCUCGCUUAGGGUAUCAACUCUGAGUAACAAUUUGCGAGAGGUCCGGGGUUCAAUCCCCGGACGAACCC
rnacentral:tRNA from 1 species